rnacentral:lncRNA from 1 species
UGGCAUUUUACGUGAUUAUGGUGGUUUAACUAAAAUUAAUUUGUCGAGAUCAAUUAAUGCAGGGGACAUGAAUUUUGCAGAAAUACAAGCCAUCAGAGAAGUGUUUUUAUUAUGUGCCAAUCACAUGAGUUAUAGACAAUGAAUUUAUGGAUUAAAAGUGAUUCAAUGCAUACAGUUUUGUGGAUAAACAACAUUGAAAAGGCCCCUUAGAGAUUCGAGAAGUGGUUAGUACAGAUAGAAAGCAUGCAGAAACUAAUUCCAAUGGAAAGUUACUCAUGUAUUAUGAGCAGCAAAUAGCGAAGCUGAUAUGCUUGCAAAGGAUGUAGAAGUGUUUCAAGUGUUUGAUUAAGUUGGUUUGUAGCAAUAAAGCGAUGUACAAUUUACAAAAUCUGUUAGCCCGAGUUAAGAGGGGUUUAAAUUUGAUACUGGUUGAAUUAGGUGCAGAUCUACAGACACAAGCUGCAUUAGUGUCAGGUUGGACUACUUACCAAAACAGAAUCUGGAAGCAGAAGAGUUCCAUGUGGAUAUAAACGUGAGAGGGGAGUGUUCUUCAGUUAUUGGACUUUACGGGAAUGUAGAGUUUUGUAUCUGUUAGGUGUCAGAUAUAAAACGACUUAGUGUGAACAGAAGAGUCCGGUUACGUGGAGAAUGUGGCACCUGAGACGGUUCUUUUCAGAGUCAUGUGCACAGACAAAUAAAAUUGGGACUGCAGUUUCGUCAGCAGUAAUUGGGAAGAAGUUGAUGUAUCUGGACAUCUCCAAUGUCUCCAGGUACCUUGCUAUUGGGGGUUAUUUAUUUGCAUUUCUAUAUGUAAUCAUAGAAGUCCAAAGUUAUUUUAGGCUUUGGUUCUUGGUAAUAAUAAUGCAUACUUUAAAAAAAAAAAAUCAAUUUGAGCCACAAUACUCCCUCUUGUGCUAAAAAAAAUUCUCUGGCUAUAGUUUAUGUAGUUUCAAUUUUUCUCAGACAUCUGUAUUUUAUUUUCAAUUAACAUCUUACAGAUAAUUUCUAUUUCGACAAGAAGUUAGGUUAUUAAUUUUAUCCAAUAAAAUUUUUAAAAUACUCUUAACUCAAACUUUACUUCUUUAUUCACGUUUAAUGGUAUUUUUAUAAUUUUUACUAAACAAAAUUAACAGUCUAAUUUUGUGAAAACAGAAGUUGUCGUAGGACACUAAUUGAGAAGAAAGAUAUUCAUCAGAUGCUUAUUGAAAAAAAGAAGCUCGAGAUGUCAUGUGCAAAGAAUUGAACAAAGAAUGUAAGUAAAAUUUAUCCUAAUAAAUAUUUAUUUAGGGUUCUGUUGUUCCCUUGCUCAGCAUUCUUAACAUUUCUGGACUUUCUUUUCCAUUUUAACUUUUUUUUUGCAAAGUAAUUGAAAGGUUAUUGUGACUUGUGUCGUGAUUGAUAGAAAUCAAAAGAACUGGAAUUAAAGUACAUUUAUUUAGAAGAAAAUUAUAGAAAGAACUAAAGCUGAUUCAUUAUCAAAAACCAAUUCAAUAGCUUGACCCACAAAUAUUUUGCUUCUGAGUUCACAGAUGGAAAAAGCUGUCUUUCUUCUUCCCAAUUGUCCAAAUUUCACAAAUGUCAUAGACACAGAUGAAGCAAAUCUAAAUUCAAUGACUAUUUUACACUGGAUUAAUGAAUCUACAAAAGCUGGGGUGAUACAGAAGCUGAUGCAUUAAAGGAAAAAUAAGAGUUGAAUUGAGUGAAGCUAUUAUUGCACAGGAUUCUCCACUACGGCUUCAUCUGCAGCUGACUCUGG